UACGUAGGGUGCGAGCGUUGUCCGGAAUUACUGGGCGUAAAGAGCUCGUAGGUGGUUUGUCGCGUUGUUCGUGAAAACUCACAACUCAAUUGUGGGCGUGCGGGCGAUACGGGCAGACUGGAGUACUGCAGGGGAGACUGGAAUUCCUGGUGUAGCGGUGGAAUGCGCAGAUAUCAGGAGGAACACCGGUGGCGAAGGCGGCCCUCUGGACGGUGACUGACGCUGAGACGCGAAAGCGUGGGGAGCAAACAGG
rnacentral:rRNA from 1 species